GCGACAAGCCAAGCAAGGGCGUAUGGGGAAUGCCUAGGCUCUCAGAGACGAUGAAGGACGCGACAAGCUGCGAAAAGCUACGGGGAGAGGCACAUACUUUUUGAUCCGUAGAUAUCCGAAUGGGGCAACCCAGCAUACUGAAGGUAUGUUAUCCGUAAGGAAGUUAACCCGCUGAACUGAAACAUCUAAGUAGGCGGAGGAAGAGAAAACAAGAGUGAUUCUGCGAGUAGCGGCGAGCGAAAGUGGAACAGCCCAAACCGAAAGUGUUACGGCACUUUCGGGGUUGUAGGACCACGACAUCUGAUGCAUAACGAACCAGAACCAGCCGGAGAGCUGGACCAUAGAGGGUGAUAGUCCCGUAUGGGUAAGAAAUGUUAUUGGUAGUGGUAUCCUGAGUAGGGCGGGGCACGUGAAACCCUGUCUGAAUCAAGCGGGACCAUCCGCUAAGGCUAAAUACUCCUGAGAGACCGAUAGUGAACAAGUACCGUGAGGGAAAGGUGAAAAGAACCCUGAAUAAGGGAGUGAAAUAGACCCUGAAACCAUACGCCUACAAGCGGUCGGAGCCAAUUUAUUGGUGACGGCGUGCCUUUUGCAUAAUGAGCCUACGAGUCACCGUGGCCAGCGAGGGUAAGCAUUUCAGAUGCGCACCCGUAGCGAGAGCGAGUCUUAACAGGGCGAACUAGUUGGUCGAGGUGGACGCGAAACCGUGUGAUCUACCCUUGGGCAGGUUGAAGCUGUGGUAACACAUAGUGGAGGACCGAACCCGUUGACGUUGAAAAGUCUUGGGAUGACCUGAGGGUAGGGGUGAAAGGCCAAUCAAACACGGAAAUAGCUCGUACUCCCCGAAAUGCAUUUAGGUGCAGCGUUGUAUGUAUUUAUAUAGAGGUAGAGCUACUGAUUGGAUGCGGGGGCUUCACCGCCUACCAAUUCCUGACAAACUCCGAAUGCUAUAUAAACUGUACAGCAGUGAGGGCAUGGGUGCUAAGGUCCAUGUCCGAGAGGGAAACAACCCGGACCACCAGCUAAGGUCCCUAAGUGUGUAUUAAGUUGAGAAAACGCGGUCGGACUGCUUUGACAGCCAGGAUGUUGGCUUGGAAGCAGCCAUUCAUUUAAAGAGUGCGUAACAGCUCACUGGUCGAGCGGUCCGGCAUGGAUAAUGAUCGGGCAUAAAUACACCACCGAAGCUGUGGACUUCCUUUGGAAGUGGUAGGGGAGCAUUGUGUUUGCGUUGAAGGUUGACUGCGAGGUCUGCUGGAGCGACCACAAAUGAAAAUGUAGGCAUAAGUAACGAUAAUGGGGGCGAGAAACCCCCACACCGAAAGACCAAGGUUUCCCCGGCUAUGCUAAUCAGCCGGGGGUUAGUCGGGACCUAAGGCGAACCCGAAAGGGGUAGUCGAUGGACAACGGGUUAAUAUUCCCGUACCCGCUCACAUUAAAAGCGACGGAGGCGCGGCGUUGGUGCGCACUGACAGAAUAGUGCGUUGAACUCUGCGAAAGUAGAGGAUAGUACGACGAGGCUACGGCCAAGUCGAUAAUCCAGCAUAGCGACUUCCUAGAAAAGCAAGUGAAGCGGCCCGUACCGUAAACCGACACAGGUGGUUGGGAUGAGGAUUCUAAGGUGCUCGAGAGAUUCAUGGCUAAGGAACUAGGCAAAAUAGGCCCGUAACUUCGGGAGAAGGGUCCCCUCACUUAGGUGAGGGCGCAGUGAAGAGGUCCAGGCGACUGUUUAUCAAAAACACAGGGCUCUGCUAAAUCGAGAGAUGAAGUAUAGGGCCUGACACCUGCCCGGUGCCGGAAGGUUAAGGGGAGACGUUAGCUUCGGCGAAGCGUUGAGCUGAAGCCCCGGUAAACGGCGGCCGUAACUAUAACGGUCCUAAGGUAGCGAAAUUCCUUGUCGGGUAAGUUCCGACCUGCACGAAUGGUGCAACGAUCUGGACACUGUCUCAGCCAUGAGCUCGGUGAAAUUGUAGUAUCGGUGAAGAUGCCGGUUACCCGCUGUGGGACGAAAAGACCCCGUGAACCUUUACUGUAGCUUAACAUUGCUUCUGGGCAAGUGACGUGUAGGAUAGGUGGGAGGCUAUGAGCCGGUGUCGCUAGGCAUCGGGGAGCCGUUGUUGAAAUACCACCCUUCACUUGCUUAGGAUCUAACCCAUUUUAUGGGAACAUUGUUUGGUGGGCAGUUUGACUGGGGUGGUCGCCUCCAAAAGAGUAACGGAGGCUUCCAAAGGUCCCCUCAGCACGCUUGGCAACCGUGCGUGGAGUGCAAUGGCACAAGGGGGCUUGACUGAGAGGCAUACAGGCCGACCAGGUACGAAAGUAGGGCAUAGUGAUCCGGUGGUUCCGCAUGGAAGGGCCAUCGCUCAAAGGAUAAAAGGUACUCCGGGGAUAACAGGCUGAUCUCCCCCAAGAGCUCACAUCGACGGGGGGGUUUGGCACCUCGAUGUCGGCUCGUCACAUCCUGGGGCUGGAGAAGGUCCCAAGGGUUGGGCUGUUCGCCCAUUAAAGUGGCACGCGAGCUGGGUUCAGAACGUCGUGAGACAGUUCGGUCUCUAUCUACAGUGGGCGCAAGAAACUUGAGUGGCCCUGACCCUAGUACGAGAGGACCGGGUUGGACGGACCGCUGGUGUACCUGUUGUUCCGCUAGGAGCAUUGCAGGGUAGCUACGUCCGGAUGGGAUAAGCGCUGAAGGCAUAUAAGCGCGAAACCCGCCACAAGAUGAGGUUUCUUUUUAAAGGCCGUGGGAGACGACCACGUUGAUAGGCCAUAGGUGUAAAGGCAGUGAUGUCUCAGCCGAGUGGUACUAAUAGCCUGUACGGCUUGCGCCA
rfam:Croceibacter atlanticus HTCC2559, complete genome.